GAUGAACGCUGGCGGCGUGCCUAAUACAUGCAAGUCGAGCGAACUGAUAAGGAGCUUGCUCCUUUGAAGUUAGCGGCGGACGGGUGAGUAACACGUGGGUAACCUACCUAUAAGACUGGGAUAACUUCGGGAAACCGGAGCUAAUACCGGAUAACAUUUAGAACCGCAUGGUUCUAAAGUGAAAGAUGGUUUUGCUAUCACUUAUAGAUGGACCCGCGCCGUAUUAGCUAGUUGGUAAGGUAACGGCUUACCAAGGCGACGAUACGUAGCCGACCUGAGAGGGUGAUCGGCCACACUGGAACUGAGACACGGUCCAGACUCCUACGGGAGGCAGCAGUAGGGAAUCUUCCGCAAUGGGCGAAAGCCUGACGGAGCAACGCCGCGUGAGUGAUGAAGGGUUUCGGCUCGUAAAACUCUGUUAUUAGGGAAGAACAAAUGUGUAAGUAACUGUGCACAUCUUGACGGUACCUAAUCAGAAAGCCACGGCUAACUACGUG
rnacentral:rRNA from 1 species